GGUGAGUAACGCGUGGGUAACCUGCCUUAAACAGAGGGAUGGCAAGUGGAAACGCUUGGUAAUACCACAUAAAGCCUAAGCAUUGCAUAAUGAAUAGGUGAAAGGAGGAAUCCGGUUUAAGAUGGGCCCGCGUCCAAUUAGCUAGUUGGUGAGGUAAGAGCGCACCAAGGCGACGAUUGGUAGCCGAACUGAGAGGUUGAGCGGCCACAUUGGGACUGAGAUACGGCCCAGACUCCUACGGGAGGCAGCAGUGGGGAAUAUUGCGCAAUGGGGGGAACCCUGACGCAGCGACGCCGCGUGAAGGAAGAAGGUCUUCGGAUUGUAAACUUCUUUGAUUAGGGAAGAGGAAGGACGGUACCUAAAGAACAAGCCACGGCUAACUGCGUGCCAGCAGCCGCGGUAAUACGUAGGUGGCAAGCGUUGUCCGGAAUUACUGGGUGUAAAGGGCGAGUAGGUGGAUCACUAAGUCAGAGGUGAAAACCCAUGGCUAAACUGUGGGAUAGCAACUGAAACUAGAGAUCUUGAGUACUGGAGAGGGAAGCGGAAUUCCUAGUGUAGCGGUGAAAUGCGUAGAUAUUAGGAGGAACACCAGUGGCGAAGGCGGCUUCCUGGACAGAGACUGACACUGAGGCGCGAAAGCGUGGGGAGCGAACAGGAUUAGAUACCCUGGUAGUCCACGCUGUAAACGAUGGAUACUAGGUGUAGGUGGUAAGAAACCAUCUGUGCCGGAGUAAACACAAUAAGUAUCCCACCUGGGGAGUACAGCCGCAAGGUUGAAACUCAAAGGAAUUGACGGGGGCCCGCACAAGCAGUGGAGUAUGUGGUUUAAUUCGAAGCAACGCGAAGAACCUUACCAGGGCUUGACAUCCCUUGAACUAUCUAGAGAUAGGUAGGGCCUACGGGACAAGGAGACAGGUGGUGCAUGGUUGUCGUCAGCUCGUGUCGUGAGAUGUUGGGGUAAGUCCCGCAGCGUGCGCAACCCUUAUAGUUAGUUGCCAGCAAUAAGAUGGGGACUCUAGCGAGACAGCCGUUGAGAAAACGGAGGAAGGAAAGGAUGAUGUCAAAUCAU
rnacentral:rRNA from 1 species